AUUGAACGCUGGCGGCAGGCCUAACACAUGCAAGUCGAACGAGUGGCGGACGGGUGAGUAAUGUCUGGGAAACUGCCUGAUGGAGGGGGAUAACUAAUGGAAACGGUAGCUAAUACCGCAUACCAUCGGAUGUGCCCAGAUGGGAUUAGCUAGUUGGUGGGGUAACGGCUCACCAAGGCGACGAUCCCUAGAUGGUCUGAGAGGAUGACCAGCCAACGUGGAACUGAGACACUGUCCAGACUCCGACGGGAGGCAGCAGUGGGGAAUAUUGCACAAUGGGCGCAAGCCUGAUGCAGCCAUGCCGCGUGUAUGAAGAAGGCCUUCGGGUUGUAAAGUACUUUCAGCGGGGAGGCGUUACCCGCAGAAGAAGCACCGGCUAACUCCGUGCCAGCAGCCGCGGUAAUUC
rnacentral:rRNA from 1 species